rnacentral:piRNA from 1 species
GCCUCAUCGUCCAAUUUACUCA